AGUGAACGCUGGCGGUAGGCCUAACACAUGCAAGUCGAACGGCAGCACAGUAAGAGCUUGCUCUUACGGGUGGCGAGUGGCGGACGGGUGAGGAAUACAUCGGAAUCUACUCUUUCGUGGGGGAUAACGUAGGGAAACUUACGCUAAUACCGCAUACGACCUACGGGUGAAAGCAGGGGAUCUUCGGACCUUGCGCGAUUGAAUGAGCCGAUGUCGGAUUAGCUAGUUGGCGGGGUAAAGGCCCACCAAGGCGACGAUCCGUAGCUGGUCUGAGAGGAUGAUCAGCCACACUGGAACUGAGACACGGUCCAGACUCCUACGGGAGGCAGCAGUGGGGAAUAUUGGACAAUGGGCGCAAGCCUGAUCCAGCCAUACCGCGUGGGUGAAGAAGGCCUUCGGGUUGUAAAGCCCUUUUGUUGGGAAAGAAAAGCAGCAGGUUAAUACCCCGCUGUUCUGACGGUACCCAAAUAAUAAGCACCGGCUAACUUCGUG
rnacentral:rRNA from 1 species